GACGGAGGGUGCUAGCGUUGUUCGGAAUUACUGGGCGUAAAGGGCGCGUAGGCGGCCUGGUCAGUCGGAUGUGAAAGCCCGGGGCUCAACCCCGGAACGGCAUCCGAGACGGCCAGGCUGGAGACCGGGAGAGGAGGGUGGAAUAGCCAGUGUAGAGGUGAAAUUCGUAGAUAUUGGCUGGAACACCGGUGGCGAAAGCGGCUCUCUGGCCCGGUUCUGACGCUGAGGCGCGAAAGCGUGGGGAGCAAACAGGG
rnacentral:rRNA from 1 species